CUUAAAUUGAAGAGUUUGAUCAUGGCUCAGAUUGAACGCUGGCGGCAGGCCUAACACAUGCAAGUCGAGCGGAAACGAGUUGAC
rnacentral:rRNA from 1 species